UCUCGAUCUCACCCACCAAACUGCGAUUCGAAGAAUUUGGUGGCCACUAGAUUGACUUGGAUCAGUGAUUUUUUUUUUGGAACCCGAUUCAACGACACAGUCACUGGUAUUGAGCUAAUUCCUCUAUGCUUUGUUGCUUUGCAGGCUGACCCCGCUGACCAUCUUGCUGAGUUUUAUGAGUAUUGCAAGGGCUUGAAUCUUGCUAGAACUUUUCAGUUUCCUAGAUGGUGGAUCUCAGCCCCAAGUCUGAAAUCUUAAGUUCGGCAAGUAUGCGGAGUGUGUUGGUGUUGGAGCUCCGGUGUAUCUCUCUGCCUUCCUUCAAUACCUGGUUGCUGUGGGGUCUUUACUGAUUGAGCUUAUUCAGCAGAUGCACGUACAAGGUGUGCAGGCAUCAAUGGCAUCUAGGAAGUGAUCGAAAGAAGAGAGGGGCAAUUGUCAAUAUUAGUUAUAAUGCAG